rnacentral:rRNA from 1 species
GAUGAACGCUGGCGGCGUGCUUAACACAUGCAAGUCGAACGAAGCAUUUGCGACAGAUUUUUUCGGAAUGAAGUUGCUUAUGACUGAGUGGCGGACGGGUGAGUAACGCGUGGGUAACCUGCCUUGUACUGGGGGAUAGCAGCUGGAAACGGCUGGUAAUACCGCAUAAGCGCACAAUGUUGCAUGACAUGGUGUGAAAAACUCCGGUGGUAUAAGAUGGACCCGCGUCUGAUUAGCUAGUUGGUGAGAUAACAGCCCACCAAGGCGACGAUCAGUAGCCGACCUGAGAGGGUGAACGGCCACAUUGGGACUGAGACACGGCCCAGACUCCUACGGGAGGCAGCAGUGGGGAAUAUUGCACAAUGGAGGAAACUCUGAUGCAGCGACGCCGCGUGAGUGAAGAAGUAAUUCGUUAUGUAAAGCUCUAUCAGCAGGGAAGAUAGUGACGGUACCUGACUAAGAAGCGCCGGCUAAAUACGUG